GUGACUUCAGGAAAAGUUGUGAAACUUGCAGGUGUGUGUGUGUAUGUGUGGUCAGGUAGCUUCCUCCUCCGCCACCCUCCGUCCUUACCUGUCCGGUGAGUCUGCGCCUCACACCGGAGGGACGGUGUCCAACCUGCCGCUGUGCUCCACUGAAACACCUGGGAACCGAGAGGGGACAGCAUGAGUCACAUCACACCGGAGAGGAGUUUCGAUUGAAGUUUUAGACCUUUUUUUAUAGAUUAAACAGCCCGAAAAUGACACAGAGGAGGAAGAUGUUUUCCUUCCUGCGGUCAGUGAGAGACCGUCCUCCGGAGGAUAUCCACAUCUCCUCUCUGCCUCCCAGUGUUCCCACAGACCAGGAGCCAGAGCAGAACGGAGGACGAGAUAUUUCAGCUGGGGACAUGGAGGGAGAGAUAUCAGUGGUCCAGACGACGCACACACACAGAGGCUCCGCCCCCUCAGUCUUCCUCCAGAAACAGAAUAAUGAACCGGUUUCUAGUACCUACUUUGAACAAAAGGUCCCUGUUCCCGAGGAGGACGGCGAGAAGUGCUUCAGUUUCAGGAAGCUGUGGGCCUUCACGGGGCCGGGCUUCCUGAUGAGCAUCGCCUACCUGGACCCCGGGAACAUCGAGUCGGACCUGCAGUCUGGAGCUAAAGCUGGCUUUAAGCUCCUCUGGGUGCUGCUGGCGGCCACCAUCAUCGGCCUGCUGCUGCAGCGGCUCGGCGCUCGACUCGGCGUCGUCACGGGGAUGCACCUCGCCGAGGUCUGCAACCGGCAGUACCGCACGGUUCCUCGUAUCAUCCUGUGGUUGAUGGUGGAGAUCGCCAUCAUCGGCUCCGACAUGCAGGAAGUGAUCGGCUGCGCCAUCGCUUUCAACCUCCUCUCCUCCGGCAGGAUCCCGUUGUGGGGAGGCGUUCUCAUCACCAUCAUCGACACCUUCGUCUUCCUCUUCUUGGACAAAUACGGCCUCAGGAAGCUGGAGGCCUUCUUCGGUUUGCUCAUCACCGUCAUGGCCAUCACCUUCGGAUAUGAGUAUGUGACGGUGGGUCCGGAUCAAGGCCAGCUGUUGAAGGGGAUGUUCGUGCCGGGCUGCGAGGGCUGCGGCCCGGUUCAGAUGACUCAGGCCGUCGGCAUCGUAGGGGCCGUCAUCAUGCCUCACAACAUAUACCUCCACUCUGCUCUGGUCAAGUCUCGAGACGUGGAUCGGUCGAACAUGAAAGAAGUAAAGGAGGCCAACAAAUACUACUUCAUAGAGUCGACCGUGGCGCUCUUCAUCUCCUUCCUCAUCAACGUGUUUGUGGUGGCUGUGUUCGCCGAGGCUUUCUAUGAGCGAACAAACGAAGAAGUGUACAACGUCUGCAAUCAAACGGGAAGUCCUCACUCACAUCUCUUCCCUCUGAACAAUGAGACUCUGGAGGUGAACCUCUACAAAGGGGGAGUGGUGCUCGGCUGUUUCUUUGGCCCGGCGGCGCUCUACAUCUGGGCCGUGGGGAUCCUCGCAGCCGGUCAGAGCUCCACCAUGACGGGAACGUACUCCGGACAGUUUGUCAUGGAGGGUUUCUUGAACCUGCGCUGGUCGCGUUUCGCUCGGGUGUUUUUGACCCGCUCCAUCGCCAUCACCCCCACCCUGCUGGUGGCCAUCUUCCAGGACGUGCAGCACCUGACGGGCAUGAACGACUUCCUGAACGUGCUGCAGAGCAUGCAGCUGCCAUUCGCUCUCAUCCCCAUCCUCACUUUCACCAGCCUGCCAUCUCUCAUGAACGAGUUUGCCAACGGAUUAGUGUAUAAGAUCGGGGGAAGCCUGGUGAUCCUGGUGGUCUGUGCCAUCAACACGUACUUCGUGGUGGUCUACGUGACGGAGCUGAACAGUGUGUGGCUGUAUGUGCUGGCUGCGUUCCUCUCCAUAGCAUACCUGACAUUUGUGGGAUAUUUGGUGUGGUUGUGUCUGAUCGCUCUGGGAGUUUCCUGCCUGGAUCCGAGCACGAGGAGAGGGAACGACACGAGGAUCCUGAUGGAGACGCAGCCGGAGUUUGACUCCUGAAUCACAUGAGGACUUUAUUUAAAAGGGAGGCAGUGCAGUCCCUCCUCAGAUCCUGAACAUGCCUCUCCACCAGAGCUGAACAACAUAACACAUUUAAUGACACGGUGUGUUACAUCACACUUCAUGUUGUUAUGGCUGCACAGAAACAGCAGGAUUCUAUCAAAGGAAAUCAGAUAAAUCAAAUGAGUGUCAGUGACUGGCUGUAACGCUGCUGUACAUUCAGAUGUGGUUGAGAUGCCUGUGGUGAGGUCUGAAGAGUUGCAACUAUUGUGUAACUACAAGCAAACACGGCUGGUUUCACUGUUACUUGAAUUCCUGACCUGAAGUGCUUCGACAUUUUCAAGCCGAGGAGAGGCGGACGGACAGGUUUUUCUUUGCAUUGUGGCGGGGAACUUUUUUUUUUCCUGUAAUGGAGGCAGAGUUAUGUAAGGGAGUCUUCCCACCGCCCCUCUGUGUUUUUGUUUUUCUCAAUGAGCCAAAUGUCUCCCUGCCGAGGCCUCACAGCCUGUCCAGUAGGCCCCUUUCCUGGAAACAUAGCCUAGCAGAGGCCACUCGGGGGCAGGCCCGCGAGGUGGGAGGAGGGGAGGGAGGGAGGGCUCUUCCAGCAAAUCACAUGGUUUUAGCCCCUACAGUCCCAGCCCUACAUGAGGCUCAGAUGCUGCAAGCACAUUUCAACAGCUAGUUGUCAUCAACGUGAUUGGAUGUAGCUAUUGCAUGGCAAGAGUGCAUGAGGCUAGGUAUGCAACGUUACAAGAAGAAGAGGGCACCAGAAUCAGGCACAGAUAAUGCAUUUCAAAUUGAUUCAGUAAAAAGUGGCAUCAGCUGAAGACCACAUGACAUUUUCCAGCUCUCGGACCAUACUUAUUUUUGUAUAUAUUUUUACAUAGAUCUGUCAGUGCUGCCUCAAAAUGUCCGACACCAGGAAUGCAAACAGCGGGGCCAUUGCUGUUUAUGUCUUGCAUUGUGGCCUCUGUGGGCCUGGCAGAGCUUAAUGGGCCCAUGUGUUUGGAAAGGCUACACUGACUAUUUCAACUCUACUUAUUCCUUUAAGUGUUUCUUUGUGUUUUCAUGACCUAAAUGUCUUAUUGAUGAAUGUUUUAUGAUCUGCUGUUGCUAAACUCCUCAUCAGUUGCUCAGGUGGAGAAAGUACUUGGAUCCUUUACUUCAGGAAAAGUAGAAAUGAGCCUAAAAUACUCCAUUACAAUUUAAAAUCCA